rnacentral:rRNA from 1 species
AAUGGGCGCAAGCCUGAUCCAGCCAUGCCGCGUGAAGGAUGAAGGCGCUCAGCGUUGUAAACUUCUUUUGGACGGGAACAAUACCCCUGGUGCGCCAGGGCUUGAGGGUACCGUCAGAAUAAGCACCGGCUAACUCCGUGCCAGCAGCCGCGGUAAUACGGAGGGUGCAAGCGUUAUCCGGAAUCACUGGGUUUAAAGGGUGCGUAGGCGGUCUUGUAAGUCAGUCGUGAAAUCGCUGGGCUCAACCCAUGCAAUUGCGAUUGAUACUGCGGGACUUGAAUGGGGUUUAGGCAGGCGGAAUGUGGCAUGUAGCGGUGAAAUGCAUAGAUAUGCCAUAGAACACCGAUUGCGAAGGCAGCCUGCUGGGCCUUUAUUGACGCUGAGGCACGAAAGCGUGGGGAGCAAA